CCUUCUCUAGCUCCCUUGGUGAGAGCCUGGUGCUGAUAACGCCAAGGUUGCAGGUUCAAUCCCUGCAUGGGGCA